AGCGAAAGCGAGUCUGAAUAGGGCGUGCAGUAUGAGGUCGUCGACCCGAAACCAGGUGACCUACCCAUGUGCAGGGUGAAGGUGCGGUGAAACGCACUGGAGGCCCGAACCCACGUAUGUUGAAAAAUGCGGGGAUGACGUGUGGGUAGCGGUGAAAUUCCAAUCGAACCUGGAGAUAGCUGGUUCUCUCCGAAAUAGCUUUAGGGCUAGCCUCGGAUGAUGCAUCGUGGAGGUAGAGCGACUGUUUGGACGAGGGCCCCUUGCGGGGUACCGAAUCCUGAUAAACUCCGAAUGCCACAGAUGUUAAUCCGGGAGUCACACUGCGAGUGAUAAGAUCCGUAGUGGAAAGGGAAACAACCCAGACCGUCGGCUAAGGUCCCCAAAUCCUUGUUAAGUGGAAAAGGAUGUGGGGCUGCUUAGACAACUAGGAUGUUGGCUUAGAAGCAGCCAUCAUUUAAAGAGUGCGUAAUAGCUCACUAGUCGAGUGGCCCUGCGCCGAAAAUUUACCGGGGCUAAACAAGGUACCGAAGCCACGGAUAGAACCUUUGGUUCUAUGGUAGGAGAGCGUUCUAAUCAGCAUAGAAGCCUGACUGUGAAGACAGGUGGAGCGAUUAGAAGUGAGAAUGCCGGUAUGAGUAGCGAAAGACAGGUGAGAAUCCUGUCCACCGAAUGACUAAGGUUUCCUGGGGAAGGCUCGUCCUCCCAGGGUUAGUCGGGACCUAAGCUGAGGCCGAACGGCGUAGGCGAUGGUCAACAGGUUGAUAUUCCUGUACCAGUUUCUUUUGUUUGACCGAUGGAGGGACGCAGCAGGCUAAGAUAUGCCCACU
rnacentral:rRNA from 1 species